rnacentral:rRNA from 1 species
ACAGCAGUAGCCGCGGUAAUACGGAGGGUGCAAGCGUUAAUCGGAAUUACUGGGCGUAAAGCGCACGCAGGCGGUCUGACAAGUCAGAUGUGAAAUCCCCGGGCUUAACCUGGGAACUGCAUUUGAAACUGUCAGGCUGGAGUCUUGUAGAGGGGGGUGGAAUUCCAGGUGUAGCGGUGAAAUGCGUAGAGAUCUGGAGGAAUACCGGUGGCGAAGGCGGCCCCCUGGACAAAGACUGACGCUCAGGUGCGAAAGCGUGGGGAGCAAACAGGAUUAGAUACCCGUGUAGUCCCUGUCUCUUAUAC